GCUGUUAGUGCUUAUUGCUCCACUUGGGAUGCCGAUAAGCCUUACUCAUGGCGCAACAAAUAUGGCUGGACUGCCUUCUGUGGACCAUCCGGACCUAGGGGCCGUGACUCUUGUGGAAAGUGUUUGAGGCUUAGGAAUACAAGAACUGGGGUAACCAUAACAUCAAGGAUUGUGGAUCAGUGCAGCAAUGGGGGCUUAGAUUUGGACUUUAACACUAUAUUUAAGCCAUUAGACACCGAUGGAAUUGGAUAUCAAUAGGGUUCUCUCCAAGUGGGCUACACAUUUGUCAAUUGUGGGGAUUAGUGAUGAUGAUCGAUUCAGCAGUACCAUUCUCGAAGAUAUAAAUCUCUUGGGAUGUAAUUAAUAACAAUAUAUAGCAAAAACAUUAUGCUUAUAUAUAAAUAUAUAUAUAAAAAGCUGAUAUAUGGCUUAGUUAAGCUUAAAGACAAGAGACUUAAUAAAACUUUUAGGAAGUUUGUUCCAAAGGGUAUAUCCUCAGCACUUGUGAAAUGUUCUUCUUGAGAACAUAAUAAAAUUUGUACCAUGUUGUAUGCUUUUGUUUUUAUCCAA